rnacentral:rRNA from 1 species
UACGUAGGGUGCGAGCGUUAAUCGGAAUUACUGGGCGUAAAGCGUGCGCAGGCGGUUUGUUAAGUCAGAUGUGAAAGCCCCGGGCUUAACCUGGGAACGGCAUUUGAAACUGGCAGGCUGGAGUACGGCAGAGGGGGGUGGAAUUCCACGUGUAGCAGUGAAAUGUGUAGAGAUGUGGAGGAACACCGAUGGCGAAGGCAGCCCCCUGGGCCGAUACUGACGCUCAGGCACGAAAGCGUGGGGAGCAAACAGG